UGGGGAAUAUUGCGCAAUGGGCGAAAGCCUGACGCAGCAACGCCGUGUGAGGGAUGAAGGCUUUCGGGUCGUAAACCUCUGUCAGAAGGGAAGAACGGGUGAUGGUCUAAUAGGCCGUCAUUUUGACGGUACCUUCAGAGGAAGCACCGGCUAACUCCGUGCCAGCAGCCGCGGUAAUACGGAGGGUGCAAGCGUUAUUCGGAAUUACUGGGCGUAAAGCGCACGUAGGCGGCCUUGUAAGUCAGGGGUG
rnacentral:rRNA from 1 species